rnacentral:rRNA from 1 species
GACGAACGCUGGCGGCGUGCUUAACACAUGCAAGUCGAACGGAAAAGCCCUGCUUUUGUGGGGUGCUCGAGUGGCGAACGGGUGAGUAACACGUGAGUAACCUGCCCUUGACUUUGGGAUAACUUCAGGCAACUGGGGCUAAUACCGGAUAGGAGCUCCUGCUGCAUGGUGGGGGUUGGAAAGUUUCGGCGGUUGGGGAUGGACUCGCGGCUUAUCAGCUUGUUGGUGGGGUAGUGGCUUACCAAGGCUUUGACGGGUAGCCGGCCUGAGAGGGUGACCGGCCACAUUGGGACUGAGAUACGGCCCAGACUCCUACGGGAGGCAGCAGUGGGGAAUAUUGCACAAUGGGCGGAAGCCUGAUGCAGCAACGCCGCGUGCGGGAUGACGGCCUUCGGGUUGUAAACCGCUUUCGCCUGUGACGAAGCGUGAGUGACGGUAAUGGGUAAAGAAGCACCGGCUAACUACGUG